AGUCUCCAAGUGUCACUCAAGAAACAAAGGCAAGAUUUAACGAUUUAUUAAAAGCAGCUUUAUCCAAGGAAGCUGUUGAUCAACAAUCUGCUUUAUCAUCAACAAAGAAUCGUACAAAGAAACAGUCUGUGACUCCACAAGAAUCUAUCCCUCUUCAUAAAUUACCAGUUAGAAGCCGAAAAAAUGAAAACUUUGGAGGGAAAUUCAAUGCCUAUUCAUCAGAAGAAAGUCCACAGAACGAGAAAAGGCAAAUUAUCGCAGAAGUCCACACCUCUAGAACCCAGCUACUUCAGUCUAGCAGUGAUGACGACAUUUCGGCAGAGAAGAAAACGAAGAAGAAGAAAAAGAAGUUUAAAUUG